AUGUCCCAGCAGAAUAUUUUAGAUGAGCUAUCAUCCUCUUUGUUUGAUCAAGUACAGGUGUACAAAAAUAAAAUGUUGGCCCACUUUGGUGAACUUGAAAGGGUUUCUAGCUACUGGGGUUCUUUCUUAUGUGAUGGAGAAGGCUCUUCUUUAGUCUCAGCUGCUCUUUUAGAAGCUGGACUUGCAGAGUAUAAGUAUGGUCGAGUUGAUGCUUCAAGAAUCGGAGCAUAUGUGAUCUUGCUAUUUACUUUCAGCAGAGUACACAACCGAAGGAUUUUUUCCCCCUGCUACGCAGUCCGAAGUCUCCUGCUGACAAUCACAUGCAUUGUUGCAUUCAAAAGAAGGAGGCAAUGA
rnacentral:rRNA from 1 species